rnacentral:lncRNA from 1 species
AGAUAUAUAGGCCUUUUACACUAUAACUUACCGGUAAGAUAUGGUGUUUUCAUAAAAACAGGCUCUUUACUCAGUAAAAUACGGGUACGAUGUUGCAUUUUCUGAUAUAUCGGCAUUUUACACUAUAACGUACCGGCAAGAUAUGGUGUUUGAGAAAAAUAAGUUAUUUACUCCACAAAUUGCGGGUAAGAUGUUGCAUUCUCAGAUAUAUAGGCCUUGUACACUAUAACUUACCGGUAAGAUAUUGCGUCUUGAGAAAAAUAAGUUAUUU